CGCGACCUCAGCUCAGGCGGGGCCACCCGCUGAGUUUAAGCAUAUCAAAAAAAGGGGGAAGAA
rnacentral:rRNA from 1 species